rnacentral:rRNA from 1 species
AUUGAACGCUGGCGGCAUGCCUUACACAUGCAAGUCGAACGGCAGCAUGAUCUAGCUUGCUAGAUUGAUGGCGAGUGGCGAACGGGUGAGUAAUACAUCGGAACGUGCCCUGUAGUGGGGGAUAAUUAGUCGAAAGAUUAGCUAAUACCGCAUACGACCUGAGGGUGAAAGUGGGGGACCGCAAGGCCUCAUGCUAUAGGAGCGGCCGAUGUCUGAUUAGCUAGUUGGUGAGGUAAAGGCUCACCAAGGCGACGAUCAGUAGCUGGUCUGAGGGGACGAUCAGCCACACUGGGACUGAGACACGGCCCAGACACCUACGGGAGGCAGCAGUGGGGAAUUUUGGACAAUGGGGGCAACCCUGAUCCAGCAAUGCCGCGUGUGUGAAGAAGGCCUUCGGGUUGUAAAGCACUUUUGUCCGGAAAGAAAUCGCACUUACUAAUAUUAGGUGUGGAUGACGGUACCGGAAGAAUAAGGACCGGCUAACUACGUGCCAGCCGCCGCAGUAAUAC